AAGAUGCAAAGGAGGAAGAAAAAUGAAAAAGAGGAUAAAGAAACAAAAGCAAAAUGAAAUAAGAGAAAGAGACCAACCUGCUGCAACAUGACAUAGGAGACAAAAACUGUGAUUCCAUAAGAAGCAAAGGUGGCAACCCAAAGAGGAGCCAUCGGCAACCAAAAAAGCUCUCAAAGCAGAGUAGAGAAUCAAAAAGAGAGAAAAAGCUUGGAAGAGUCUGAAAACAUGAAGGAAGAAGGCAAAAAACACCAUCUCCUUUUAUAGGCACAAA
rnacentral:lncRNA from 1 species